CCUACGGGAGGCAGCAGUGGGGAAUAUUGGGCAAUGGGCGCAAGCCUGACCCAGCAAUGCCGCGUGAAGGAAGAAGGCUUUCGGGUUGUAAACUUCUUUGACAGGGGAAGAGCAGAAGACGGUACUCUGAAAACAAGCGACGGCUAACUAUGUGCCAGCAGCGGCGGUAAUACGUAGGUGGCAAUCGUUGUGCAGAUUUACUGGGUGUAAGGGGCGUGUAGCCGGGAAGGCAAGUCAGCUGUGAAAUCUGGAGGCUCAACCUCCAAAUUGCAUUUGAAACUGUUUUUCUUGAGUACUGAAGAGGCAGACGGAAUUCCUUGUGUAGCGGUGAAAUGCGUAGAUAUAAGGAGGAACACCAGUGGCGAAGGCAGUCUGCUGGACAGCAACUGACGGUGAGGCGCGAAAGCGUGGGUAGCAAACAGGAUUAGAUACCCUUGUAGUC
rnacentral:rRNA from 1 species